CUGCCCAAGAGACUGGGAUAACACCUGGAAACAGAUGCUAAUACGGGAUAACAACACUAGACGCAUGUCUAGAGUUUGAAAGAUGGUUCUGCUAUCACUCUUGGAUGGACCUGCGGUGCAUUAGCUAGUUGGUAAGGUAACGGCUUACCAAGGCAAUGAUGCAUAGCCGAGUUGAGAGACUGAUCGGCCACAUUGGGACUGAGACACGGCCCAAACUCCUACGGGAGGCAGCAGUAGGGAAUCUUCCACAAUGGACGAAAGUCUGAUGGAGCAACGCCGCGUGAGUGAAGAAGGGUUUCGGCUCGUAAAGCUCUGUUGGUAGUGAAGAAAGAUAGAGGUAGUAACUGGCCUUUAUUUGACGGUAAUUACUUAGAAAGUCACGGCUAACUACGUGCCAGCAGCCGCGGUAAUACGUAGGUGGCAAGCGUUGUCCGGAUUUAUUGGGCGUAAAGCGAGUGCAGGCGGUUCAAUAAGUCUGAUGUGAAAGCCUUCGGCUCAACCGGAGAAUUGCAUCAGAAACUGUUGAACUUGAGUGCAGAAGAGGAGAGUGGAACUCCAUGUGUAGCGGUGGAAUGCGUAGAUAUAUGGAAGAACACCAGUGGCGAAGGCGGCUCUCUGGUCUGCAACUGACGCUGAGGCUCGAAAGCAUGGGUAGCGAACAGGAUUAGAUACCCUGGUAGUCCAUGCCGUAAAC
rnacentral:rRNA from 1 species